AUUAAGGGCAUACGGAGGAUGGCUAGACAGAACGUGCCGAUGAAGGACGUAGCAGCCUGCGAUAAGCUUCGGGGAGGUGGCAAGCAACCUUUGAUCCGGAGAUUUCCGAAUGGGGAAACCCGUUACGUUGAAGGCGUAUCAUCUACCGCUGAAUAUAUAGGCGGUAUGAAGGGCACCUGGGGAAGUGAAACAUCUCAGUACCCAGAGGAAAGGAAAAAGAUUAACUCGCUUUGUGUUCAAAGUGUUCUUCGAACAUUUUGAACAUUUAAGUGAGUCCAUUCCCUAAGUAGUGGCGAACGAAAGGGGAACAGUCCAAACUUUUUUAGUGAAACCUUCCGGAUCUUUUCUUUAUGGAGAGUGAAGGAUGGUGAAAGGUGGCAGCCGUUGCUAAAAAAGUGUUGUAAGAUGUUUGUGUGAUUUUCUGCCGAAAGUCGACUUUAGCACGAUAUAUAACAGAAUUCGCUGGAAAGCGAAACCACAGAAGGUGAUAGUCCUGUAAGUGAAAUAUUUCGUGUUACGGUUACAAACACUCUUGAGUACCACGAGACUCGCGAAAUCUUGUGGGAAUCUGCCGCGACUAUGUGGCAAGACUAAAUACGCGUUCUGAUCGAUAGUGAACCAGUACCGUGAGGGAAAGCUUAAAAGAACCCCGGAAGGGGAAUGAAAUAGUAUCUGAAACCGUAUGCUUACAAGGAGUUAGAGUCCCACCGUAGCCCGUAAGGGCGAAGGGGGAUGAUAGCGUUCCUAUUGAAGAAUGAGCCAACGAGUGUGCUGCGUGUCGCUCGGUUAAGCCUUAAGGGGCGAAGCCAUAGUGAAAGCAAGCGUUCACCCGCGUUCUCUGACUUUGUUCAAGGAUCCGUAGAGGUAUAAAAUUUUAUGCCUUCUAUAGCCCUUGAACAUAGUCAGAAGGUGGCACGCACACGACCCGAAACCGAGUGAUCUAACCAUGGCCAGGGUGAAGCGAGUGUAAUAGCUCGUGAAGGCCCGAACCCACGCGCCGUACAACACGCGGGGAUGAGCUGUGGUUAGCGGAGAAAUUCCAAUCGAACUCGGUAAUAGCUGGUUCUCCCCGAGAUAGCUUUUGGGCUAGCGUCGGUAAAUAAUGUGUUGGGGGUAGAGCACUGAAUGGGACGGUCGCCGCAAGGUAGACCUCCUAACCAAACUCCGAAUACCAACACGUGUUCCCGGCAGUCAGACGAUGGGGGCUAAGCUCCAUACGUCGAAAGGAAAACAGUCCAGAUCUCAAACUAAGGUCCCUAAAUCAUCAUUAAGUGUAGAAGGUGGUGAAGAGGCUCAUACAACCAGGAGGUUGGCUUAGAAGCAGCCAUCCUUUAAAGAUAGCGUAACAGCUCACUGGUCAAGCCUUUUUGCGCCGAAAAUGUACCGGGGCUAAAUGGUGUACCGAAGUUGAGGGUUUAAUCGCAAGAUUAAGCGGUAGGGGAGCAUUCGCAUCUGCGCUGAAGUCGUGUCGUAAGGCAUGGUGGAGCGUUGCGAAGAGAGAAUGUUGGCAUGAGUAGCAAGAAGACAGGUGAGAAUCCUGUCCGCCGUAAACCCAAGGUUUCCUGGGCAACGAGAAUCGUCCUAGGGUUAGUCGGGAGCUAAGGCGAGGCCGAAAGGCGUAGUCGAUGCACAGCAGGUUAAUAUUCCUGCACUUCGUUUUGUUUCGAUGAGGGGACGCUUUCCGUACCCUCCCGCGUCAUAUGGCUAUGGCGUUGGGUGCGCUGAGGCGAUUGGUAGGUAAAUCCGCCAGUCACAAACCUCGGCGUAAGCGCAAGUUGGUCGCAAGACUGACAAGGGGAGGGGAAAGAGGGUCAAGAAAAGCCUCUAAGGUUAGGCAAAACGAACCCGUACCGGAAACCGACACAGGUGGGUGGGCACGUGAAUGUGCCAAGGCGUACGAGAGAACCCUUUGUUAAGGAACUCGGCAAAAAAGCGGCUGUAACUUCGGGAUAAAGCCUGGUUGCCCCCGGGAGGGGGCGACCCGCAGCGAAAGACGUCAACCGACUGUUUACCAAAAACACAGGUCCCUGCAAAACUGCAAAGUGAUAUAUAGGGGCUGAUGCCUGGCCAGUGUCAGAACGUUAAGGGAGGGGGUCAUCCACCGCUAAGGUAGCGAAAUUCCUUGUCGGGUAAGUUCCGACCUGCACGAAUGGCAUAACGAGUUGACGACUGUCUCAACAAGGGACUCGGUGAAAUUGCAAGAUGAGUGAAGAUGCUCAUUGCCCGUGGUUAGACGAAAAGACCCCGUGAAGCUUUACUACAGCUUGUUAUUGGGUUCAUACUUCGUAUGUUCAGUGUAGGUGGGAGCCUUCGGGCGCCAAUGAGACACCACCCUUACGUUGCGUGAAUUCUAACCGAUCGCCGUUAUCCGGUGAUUGGGACAGUAGCUGGUGGGUAGUUUACCUGGGGCGGGUGCCUCCCAAAAAGUAACGGAGGCGUUUACAAAGGUCAGCUUAGCGCGGAUGGAAAUCGCGCUGGACGUGCAAACGCAGAAGCUGGCUUUACUGCAAGACAGACAAGUCGCGCAGUCGCGAAAGCGGAAGUUAGUGAUCCGACCGUACGACAUAGGACGGCGGAAGCUCAACGGAUAAAAGCCGGUUUGGCACCUCGAUGUCGGCUCGUCGCAUCCUGGGGCUGGAGAAGGUCCCAAGGGUUUGGCUGUUCGCCAAUUAAAGCGGCACGCGAGCUGGGUUCAGAACGUCGUGAGACAGUUCGGUCUCCUAUCUACCAUGGGCGCCGAAGGUUGAGGGAAUUCAUCUCUAGUACGAGAGGACCGAGAUGGACGAAUCUCUAGUGUACCGGUUGUCCUGCCAAGGGCAGUGCCGGGUAGCUACAUUCGGUUCGGAUAAACGCUGAAAGCAUCUAAGCGUGAAGCCGAUCCCAAGAUUAGCCUUCAUUAUUAGACUCCUGCGAGACUAGCAGGUUGAUAGGCCGUACGUGGAAGUGUGGUAACACAUGUAGCGGAGCGGUACUAAUAAGUCGAG
rnacentral:rRNA from 1 species